CCCAGCCCAAUCAAACAGUUACACCACCCGAACCCGAACUCCCUUCUGCAAUGCAUCAGACUCAACAGACUUGAAUUUCACUUUCUCGUUUCUCAUCUUGCUCGAUCUCUACCUUCUGUCAUCAAGCAAACAGAUCGAUGUGGCCUGCAUUAAAAGCCUGCAAGGUCUGUAACAGCGACCAUGAAGUGAAUGAUCGUCUGAGUCAGUUGUCUGAUGAUAUCUUGUUGUUAAUUUUAUCUUCCUUUACAAUGAAAGAAGCUGCAAGAACUAGUAUUCUUUCUCACAGAUGGAAAGACCUAUGGCGAUGCUUCUUGCUUACAUACCUUAGUAUUUGAACAUACAAGAACUUGGCUCAAAAAGGUCAGUUUUUAUAAGUAGGGUUUUAUAGAUUACGCGUAACUAGUUAAUUAGUGGCCCCGGAUGUGUUGUAUAUAGUUCGAGUUUUUUUUAGUUGUUUCAAAUUCACUUGUAAAUUUCUUUGUAUACGCAGUUUGACAAUAAUAUGAAUUACAUUACUUAUGCA